rnacentral:lncRNA from 1 species
CCCGUCAGGGCGGACCGACGGGAGCAACCGCUGUAGGAGCCGCAGCCGCCAUCUUGCGCCUGUCAGCUUGGGAGCGAGGCGGCGCGCGGGUGAGAGGGGUUUCUAAAGAUUUCAGCAGGCCGUAGGAUGGAGAGGAACCCCCUUCUUCCUACAGUUUGAGUUCUAUGGUGAUGAUGACUUCUUCGCUGCUGCCCACAAGGAUCUCAGCCAAUUCUGAGGCAGAGAGAAUCAUACUUUGCUAG